AACGAACGCUGGCGGCAGGCUUAACACAUGCAAGUCGAACGCCCCGCAAGGGGAGUGGCAGACGGGUGAGUAACACGUGGGAACGUGCCCUAAGGUUUGGAAUAUUCCCGGGAAACUGGGAGCAAUACCAAAUGUGUCCGCAAGGAGAAAGAUUUAUCGCCUUAGGAUCGGCCCGCGUCAGAUUAGGUAGUUGGUGGGGUAAUGGCCUACCAAGCCGACGAUCUGUAGCUGGUCUGAGAGGACGACCAGCCACACUGGGACUGAGACACGGCCCAGACUCCUACGGGAGGCAGCAGUGGGGAAUCUUGGACAAUGGGCGAAAGCCUGAUCCAGCCAUGCCGCGUGGAUGAUGAAGGCCCUAGGGUUGUAAAAUCCUUUCGUUGGGGACGAUAAUGACGGUACCCAAAGAAGAAGCUCCGGCUAACUUCGUGCCAGCCGCCGCGGUAAAAC
rnacentral:rRNA from 1 species